CGUGUAGGCGGGGAUGCAAGUCUGAUGUGAAAGCCCCGGGCUUAACCUGGGAAGUGCAUUGGAAACUGCAUUUCUUGAGUACUGGAGAGGAAGGGGGAAUUCCCGGUGUAGAGGUGAAAUUCGUAGAGAUCGGGAGGAAUACCAGUGGCGUAGGCGCCCUUCUGGACGGUAACUGACGCUGAGACGCGAAAGCGUGGGGAGCAAACAGGAUUAGAUACCCUGGUAGUCCACGCUGUAAACGAUGAUCACUAGGUGUAGCGGGUACUCAUUCCUGCUGUGCCGCAGCUAACGCGUUAAGUGAUCCGCCUGGGGAUUACGGUCGCAAGACUAAA
rnacentral:rRNA from 1 species